UGUUUUCUCUUUUUUUUAUAUAGAUUAGGCUGUUGGAUUUCCCGUUUGAAUGGUUUUACACUAGUUACUUUUUGGGCCCUUUAUAGCUUGUGGUUAGGCGUGUGCCAAGGGUCUGUGUAAAAGACAAUACUUUGACCUAUAAUGGUUUACUUUUAUAAAUUGUGACUUGGAUGGAGAGUUGCCUCAUUAGCACUCACACAACAUCUUUAAUAUCUAUUGUAAUUGAUGUGCCUAGGUUAACUCCCCUUAAUUUGUACAGAUUAGUUAUUUAGUAUCUAAAUGUUUAUUUUAAGUUAAAUUUGAU
rnacentral:lncRNA from 1 species